CAAAUUUCUUAUCUGAAACCAUUACCUUAUGGUAACAGAUACCCUUCAAACGUUACCAGUCUUAUAUCACCAUUUACAAAGGGACCUUUAUUAUUACUUUGAUCUCUCUCUCUCUCUCUCUGCUCAUGGACCAUAUAUGAGCAGCUCGAUCUAACCCCAAUACAGACCAACACCACCUCCUAUCUUCUUCGAAACUUGGCUACCACGACCAACCUAUUUUAAAUUCCAAACACCACCACCACAAUAACCAAGCACCGCCGCUACCGCCACCAAAACAAUAACCAAGCCUUGCCACCAUUACAAUCCUCUUCUCGUAACCACCGCAACAACCACCAACAUCUACUAUAACAAUCAACUAGAAAUAAAUGUGGAGAUAUAAUUAAAAACCAUAAAUUUUACAAAUUGAAGCUCUUAAUAGACAUCGAACACUAUAAAGAUAAAAAGUUCAACUCUAACUAGAUCUCCUAGUUGAAGAAAAACUAGAAUAUAAAAUACAACAUAAAUCUCUUUGCUGACGUAAAUGAAGAAAGCAUAUAUUUGAAGUUUUUUGAGGUUAUUAUUUUAUGAGAGAGAAAUUGAAGGGAAAGUCUAGAAAGAGAAUGAUGAAAAGAUAGAGAGAGCGAGAAAAAAAUUGGAUGAAGAACUUGGAACAAUUCUUGGGCAAUUAGGCGUUGAUAUUGAGUUGCAAGUCAUUGUAGACGAUGAUCAGAGCUUCAAUAACCAAAAUUUACUAGUAUCGAUUUCUAUGGUUCAAAGAAUAUUGUAAAACAGGUAGGGUAAUAACUAAUAAGCUACCUGUCUUGAUAGAUGCUGAAAACACCACCAGCAUGAAUAAGAUCAUAUGUUCUAGGAUAAGAAGAAAAUGCUUCACACCAGUCAUGGUACGUUCCAAUGAAACCUCGUUCAAAGACAACACCCAGAGUAUCGGGGUUCGAAUUUUCCGGAACCACAUUCAUAACCCAAACAGGAUACUUAACCAUAGAUGCAGCAAACCCACCCAAAUAGGCAUUCAUAUCCAUCACAUUUCGAUACCUUCCUUGUGGUAUAGGAGGAACUAUCUUCUUAUAAUAUGCUACUCUUUCCUUCCAUAAGUUAUUGUCUUCUUUGAAUUUCUCUGCAGAAAUUCCUGGAACUGAAUUGCUGCUUAUUCUUGGAGGCACAGACAUAGCGCGUUCAGGCCAUUUUUCUAGUGCUCCUCCUGCUACUUCUUCUGAGCUGCUUACUUCAGGUAAUGGAGCUAUACAGGCCUCUAAAUCUUUGUACCUUUUUAUGUAAUCAAAGAAAAGAAGUUGUUUAGUUGUUUUUAGUUGUAGUCUCGUACAGAACAGGCCUUAGACAUGUUAAAAAUAAGUGAAAGGAAAUCAGAAGUGAUACCAAGCUGCAUCUAUAUUGUCCGAUUUGCAAAUAUGUGGAGUGGGAUAUGUUUUCUUGGUCUGGAUACAUUCAAUGUGAUUUAAAGGCUUCUGAUAAAUGGCAAGAUCACCCUGUUCAAUGACCUUCUUCCAACACAGUCGUUUUGCAACAUCCUCGAUUGCAUCUUGUUCUUGCUUGAGAUCUUCUUGAGUCCUUUCCCAUCCCCUCCAGUAUUUCUUCCAGCGAAUAGGCGGUCCAGAAAGAAUCCAGUAACCUCCAGGUCUUAACACUCUAUCUACUUCCAUCAGAUACAAUCCAUCUGCAAGAAAAUUUGCAUUGUUUACUGUAAUCUAUGCUACCCAUACUCUUUUUUUUACAUGUUGUGGAAGACAAUUCGAUACUUUAUGAUUGUAAAACAAAACUACACAGUUUGAAACUAGUAACUCACAAGCACUCGAGUCCAAAGAGAAAACGUACCAUAGUUCUGCCAAGGAAUAAGGCAACGAGAACAAUGAGCCAUGUCAAAAGCCCUUGCAGGGUAAGGAAGCCUUUGUGAAGCCAUGAUGCCAAUCAUAGCAGGAAUACCUCGUUCCAAGGCAAAUUGUACUUGAGCUUCGUGUGUGUCUCUUGGGGCAAAAGACAUUGCAAUUAUGUCUCUCUUUAAUAAUCUAUCUUUCGGUCAAGGAUGCUGUUUUGUUGUUGGAAUUUGGUGGAAACUGCUGGUGUUUUGCCUUGCCAAACACCAAGGGUAUAGAAUACAAUACAUAGGCAGCUCAUAGAAAAGAUGUAUGUAAGUCGUUUUCGUUUUACAUGAUCUAUGUAAUUAUGAGGUUUUGGAGAUCCUCCUGCACGCUCCCUUGCCAUUUUUUGUGUGUCUCUUUUUCUUAUAGGGGGGUUAGUUUGUGAGGAUAUUGUUUGGUUUCUUGGAAAUCAAGAUUAAAACGUUCAAAAUCUUCUAGUAUUCUGCAUUCAUCCUGACAUUUAGGCAUUAGUUAAACUUAUAGAACUAAUACAUACAUUCUCAAUAUAUCCAAAUUGAAGCUAAAUGAACGUAUUCAAAGUAAUUAACUUUUUUAAUGCAACUAUGUAUUUUAAGUGUGUGAUAUAUUCAAAUCACAUAUUUGAUAGAAAUAUU